GACGAACGCUGGCGGCGUGCCUAAUACAUGCAAGUUGAGCGCUGAAGGUUGGUACUUGUACCAACUGGAUGAGCAGCGAACGGGUGAGUAACGCGUGGGGAAUCUGCCUUUGAGCGGGGGACAACAUUUGGAAACGAAUGCUAAUACCGCAUAAAAACUUUAAACACAAGUUUUAAGUUUGAAAGAUGCAAUUGCAUCACUCAAAGAUGAUCCCGCGUUGUAUUAGCUAGUUGGUGAGGUAAAGGCUCACCAAGGCGAUGAUACAUAGCCGACCUGAGAGGGUGAUCGGCCACAUUGGGACUGAGACACGGCCCAAACUCCUACGGGAGGCAGCAGUAGGGAAUCUUCGGCAAUGAACGAAAGUCUGACCGAGCAACGCCGCGUGAGUGAAGAAGGUUUUCGGAUCGUAAAACUCUGUUGGUAGAGAAGAACGUUGGUGAGAGUGGAAAGCUCAUCAAGUGACGGUAACUACCCAGAAAGGGACGGCUAACUACGUGC
rnacentral:rRNA from 1 species